UCAGUCAUACUGUAUUGUUAAUGACAAAAGGAUUCUCUGGCUUAAACUUGAAAUUGUUUUCACAAUGUUGUUAAUAUAGUCAUAAUCUAAUGGGGCCACCAUUACUUUUAUUGGAUGCAAUAGUGUGGCUGUUUUCCCGUCUAUGUCUAGACCUUGCUUUUUAUUGUACUGCCAUUAGACAUGGAUCUUGGCUUCACAUAGUUUCAUGUAAUAUGGUUGAUAAAUGAGGUUAUAGUUUUGUGUUUUGGAUACCAAAAACUGGAGACUCUGCAGGAAAUCUAAAAUGUAAAGUAAUUAUUUGAUGGUAGAUAGGAAGAAUGGUCCCUUUCUACAUUUUAUUUGACAAAAUAUGGGGAGAUUUUUUUAUAUGGGUUUUUAACCAUAAUGAUAGUUCCUUAUAAACAAAUAACAUCUCAGGCGCAUGGGGUCUGCUUUGCUAUGAUCUUAAGGGUUAUGGAAACCUUUUACCUUUUAGUUUGUUUCUGAGAAUCCUCUCUCUUUAAGAUGCACGAUCUUUUUUUCUCCUUUUUUGAUGUCUUUAAUAUGCACUACCAUGCUCCUUUUUUACUGUAUCUUGAUUUUCUUUUCAUUUUUUUUUUUCUGGGGCAAGAUUGAUAGACGCCCUAGAGAUGAUGAAGCAGGGUGUGAAGCGUCUUCUUGUUCCCAAAAGUGUGGGAUGGAAAGGCAUGAGCAAGCGAUUCUCCAUCCUAUACAAUAGUAAGUGGCUGAAGAAUAUUGAUACUUCAAGUGGCAGUGGCAUUAACCUCAACGCCAACACCAACCGUCCUUCCUCAUCUUCCACAUCUUCCACCACCACUCUCCGUGGGAAGUUUUGCUGUCUGUCAAGAGAAGAUGUCAUCCGUUUCAUUAUUCACUACCUCUUUCCUCCAUCUCCUCCCUUGGAGUCAUCAACACAAACUACUACUCUAUUGAAGCCUCCUUGCCAGCCCUCGAAGCAACCCAAAAGCUUCUUGGAGUCCUUAGUUCAUU